AUGCUACAACCAGCAAACGGAAAAGCUACAACGCACCGCGAGCUGGGAUGGUCACUGCGCAGAGCUGCGAUGGUCACCAUGGCAUUUGGGACCAUGCUUGCGGCAAGCUGCCGAAGUCACCACGCUGAGCUGGAACGGUGGAUGCGAUUUGUUGCAUCCGUCACUUGGCGCUUUUUUGCUAGAACCAUGCCUGCCCCGAUUUGCUGCAUCUGCACUGACGAGCCGGCGAGCUUCGACUCCGGUGUCUCCGCUCAUCCGUGGUGGUGGGUCAGCGGGGGCUCGGUCGCGGCCGACAUCCGCCGUUGCCAGCACUGGUUCAGGUGA
rnacentral:rRNA from 1 species